rnacentral:rRNA from 1 species
AUUGAACGCUGGCGGCAGGCCUAACACAUGCAAGUCGAGCGGAUGAAGAGAGCUUGCUCUCUGAUUUAGCGGCGGACGGGUGAGUAAUGCCUAGGAAUCUGCCUGGUAGUGGGGGAUAACGUUCCGAAAGGAACGCUAAUACCGCGUACGUCCUACGGGAGAAAGCAGGGGACCUUCGGGCCUUGCGCUAGCAGAUGAGCCUAGGUCGGAUUAGCUAGUUGGUGAGGUAAUGGCUCACCAAGGCGACGAUCCGUAACUGGUCUGAGAGGAUGAUCAGUCACACUGGAACUGAGACACGGUCCAGACUCCUACGGGAGGCAGCAGUGGGGAAUAUUGGACAAUGGGCGAAAGCCUGAUCCAGCCAUGCCGCGUGUGUGAAGAAGGUCUUCGGAUUGUAAAGCACUUUAAGUUGGGAGGAAGGGCAUUAACCUAAUACGUUAGUGUUUUGACGUUACCGACAGAAUAAGCACCGGCUAACUUCGUGCCAGCAGCCGCAGUAACAC